rnacentral:rRNA from 1 species
UACGAAGGUGGCAAGCGUUGUUCGGAUUUACUGGGCGUACAGGGCGCGUAGGCGGUUGGAUAAGCCCUCCGUGAAAUCUCCAGGCUUAACCUGGAAAGUGCAGAGGGGACUGUUCAGCUAGAGGAUGGGAGAGGAGCGCGGAAUUCCCGGUGUAGCGGUGAAAUGCGUAGAUAUCCGGAGGAACACCGGUGGCGAAGGCGGCUUCCUGGACCGACACUGACGCUGAGGCGCGAAAGCUAGGGGAGCAAACGGG